CCUACGGGAGGCAGCAGUGAGGAAUAUUGGUCAAUGGGCGAGAGCCUGAACCAGCCAAGUCGCGUGAGGGAGUACUGCCCUAUGGGUUGUAAACCUCUUUUGUCGGGGAGCAAAAGCCGGACGUGUCCGGCUGUGAGAGUACCCGAAGAAAAGGCAUCGGCUAACUCCGUGCCAGCAGCCGCGGUAAUACGGAGGAUGCGAGCGUUAUCCGGAUUUAUUGGGUUUAAAGGGUGCGCAGGCGGAUUUUUAAGUCAGCGGUAAAAUCGUGGGGCUCAACCCCAUCCAGCCGUUGAAACUGGGGAUCUAGAGUGUGCGAGAGGUAUGCGGAAUGCGUGGUGUAGCGGUGAAAUGCAUAGAUAUCACGCAGAACCCCGAUUGCGAAGGCAGCAUACCGGUGCACAACUGACGCUCAGGCACGAAAGCGUGGGUAUCGAACAGGAUUAGAUACCCGUGUAGUC
rnacentral:rRNA from 1 species